UGCGUAGGUGGGUCUGUAAGUCAGUGGUGAAAUCUCCGAGCUUAACUCGGAAACUGCCAUUGAUACUAUAGAUCUUGAAUAUCCUGGAGGUGAGCGGAAUAUGUCAUGUAGCGGUGAAAUGCUUAGAUAUGACAUAGAACACCAAUUGCGAAGGCAGCUCACUACGGGAUUAUUGACACUGAGGCACGAAAGCGUGGGGAUCAAACAGGAUUAGAUACCCUGGUAGUCCACGCCCUAAACGAUGGAUACUCGACAUCAGCGAUACACUGUUGGUGUCUGAGCGAAAGCAUUAAGUAUCCCACCUGGGAAGUACGAUCGCAAGAUUGAA
rnacentral:rRNA from 1 species